CCGCCGUCCAUGCUCUUCACUGCCUCUAGAUCGCUUAUUAGAAGCGUGGUGGCCACACUGGAUCCGUCCUUCCAAGGGACCGGGCAGAGGCUGGCCUUGAACUCACAGAGCGCAACGGAAUCAAGGAGAUGUGUGUGAUGCGUCGGUUCUCCAUCUUGGAAAGCAGAAAGUGAGAUGAAUCUAAGGAAAGCCGGGAUGUGAUGGUUAAUCCGGAUGACAGAGCUAAGGAAUGCCUAGGAGACUGGUGAGGUGGGUACACUGAUGUUUUGUUGAGGGCAUUUCCAGAGUGGAUAAACUAAG